AAUGCUUAGGAUAUUACACAGAACACCAAUUGCGUAGGCAGCUCACUAAACUAUUACUGACGCUGAGGCACGAAAGCGUGGGGAGCAAACAGGAUUAGAUACCCUGGUAGUCCACGCUGUAAACGAUGAUCACUCGUUGUUGGCGAUAUAUUGUCAGUGACCAAGUGAAAGCAUUAAGUGAUCCACCUGGGGAGUACGGUCGCAAGAUUGAAACUCAAAGGAAUUGACGGGGGCCCGCACAAGCNGGAGGAACAUGUGGUUUAAUUCGAUGAUACGCGAGAAACCUUACCUGGGCUUAAAUGCAGAACGACCGGCCGGGAAAUGCCUUCUUCGGACGGAUGCAAGGUGCUGCAUGUUGUCGUCAGCUCGUGCCGUGAGGUGUCGGGUUAAGUCCCAUAANCGAGCGCAACCCUUAUUGUUAGUUGCCAGCGAGUAAUGUCGGGACUCUAACGAAACUGCCGGUGUAAACCGUGAGGAAGGUGGGGAUGACGUCAAAUCAGCACGGCCCUUAUGUCCAGGGCUACACACGUGUUACAAUGGCCAGUACAAAGGGCAGCUACCAUGUAAAUGGAUGCUAAUCUCGAAACUGUCUCAGUUCGGAUUGAAGUCUGCAACUCGACUUCAUGAAGCUGGAUUCGCUAGUA
rnacentral:rRNA from 1 species